GAUGAAGAACGUAGCGAAAUGCGAUAAGUAAUGUGAAUUGCAGAAUUCAGCGAAUCAUCGAAUCUUUGAACGCACAUUGCGCCCGCCAGUAUUCUGGCGGGCAUGCCUGUUCGAGCGUCAUUUCAACCCUCAAGUCCCCUGUGGACUCGGUGUUGGGGACCGGCGAGACAGCCGCGGAUCUUCUUCCGCAGCGAGUCGCCGCCCCCCAAAUGACUUGGCGGCCUCGUCGCGGCCCUCCUCUGCGUAGUAUAGCACACCUCGCAACAGGAGCCCGGCGAAUGGCCACUGCCGUAAAACCCCCCAACUUUUUCAGAGUUGACCUCGAAUCAGGUAGGAAUACCCGCUGAACUUAAGCAUAUCAAUAAGCGGAGGA
rnacentral:misc_RNA from 1 species